rnacentral:rRNA from 1 species
UACGUAGGCAGCGAGCGUUUGUUCGGAAUUACUGGGCGUAAAGAGUGUGUAGGCGGUGCUAUAAGUUCGGUGUGAAAUCUCCUGGCUCAACUGGGAGGGUGCGCCGGAAACUGGAGUGCUUGAGCGUGGGAGAGGAAAGCGGAAUUCCUGGUGUAGCGGUGAAAUGCGUAGAUAUCAGGAGGAACACCGGUGGUGUAGACGGCUCUCUGGACCGUAACUGACGCUGAGGCACGAAAGCGUGGGUAGCAAACAGG